UCUCUUCCGAUCUCGCCUACGGGGGGCAGCAGUGGGGAAUAUUGGGCAAUGGGCGCAAGCCUGACCCAGCAACGCCGCGUGAAGGAAGAAGGCUUUCGGGUUGUAAACUUCUUUUCUCAGGGACGAAGCAAGUGACGGUACCUGAGGAAUAAGCCACGGCUAACUACGUGCCAGCAGCCGCGGUAAUACGUAGGUGGCAAGCGUUAUCCGGAUUUACUGGGUGUAAAGGGCGUGUAGGCGGGGACGCAAGUCAGAUGUGAAAACCACGGGCUCAACCUGUGGCCUGCAUUUGAAACUGUGUUUCC
rnacentral:rRNA from 1 species